AAGUUCCACCAUGUGUUUUCUUUGAUUGGUGGUUUAGUUCCAAGGAGCUCUGGGGAUACUGCUAUACCUAAACCAUUCUAGAGAGAUGAAACCCUCCAGCGGUUCUAGUCCCGGAAGGAAGCCGAACUGCCUUGAAGCAUCUGGCCUUGUGCCCACAUGUUGUCACAGCUCAUAGCUCAUCUUUCUCUGUGCCCUUGGCAGCUGAUCUGAAUAGAGAGUGCACAUGAACUUCAAAGGAAGCAGGCAGGAUGGAGUUGGGGCCUUGCUGCUUUAAUCAAGAUGGAUUCGAGACCUCUGGUUAUCAAGUAGGAAACUGAAACCAGCAAUAGAGAACGAUGCUGACUAAAAGGAAACUAACCAUUGAAAGGGCACCAGGAACUCAAUAUAAGACUAAAUUUUAAAUAGUACUCCCCUGGUACACGCUGAUGGAUUUACUUUUACUUACUGUCUACAUAAACAAAAUUAGCAUGUGCAUUAGAGCCUCCGAUAUUGCCUAAGAAAUUCAGCAUAAUGUGCAGUGGCACAAAACAUGGUUUCCAUCUGCAUGUCCUCCACUGAUAUUCCUCCCUUGACCUUGAGCGUCUCUGUCCAAGUUUCUUUGGUCAGUGUUGGGAGUAGUGUUCCCUCUUGACUCGGUACCACUAUGAGACAUCCUUGAAUGCUGGGCUUGCCUCUUUUCUGGGGCUUUGCCUUGAACAUGAACCACUCGUGUGAAAUGUAUCAAACAAUGGUGGGGUCAGAGUCAUUGUUCCCAAGUUGGUCUUCUGAAGGGAAGCACACUCUGGCAGAAGAGGAGCCAUGCAGAACAGAAGCCUUAUAGGACCAGGGAAGGAAGAAUUUCAGAGGAAGAAAAAAGGUCAGCUGUGCAGUUCUCCUGUGCAAAAAGCAGAUCAAGGGGCAAAGGAAAUCACCCAGGACUUUCCCCCUGAUCCUCUAAAGAGAAGAGAAGAGGCCACAAAGGAACCCUGAGAGAGUGGACAACCAGAACAGCUCUCUCCAGGAACAUGGGCAGUAUUUUUUUUAAAUUCUUCCCAAAAGAUAUAUAAGUGUUCAAUAAACACAAGAAAUGUG
ensembl:lincRNA Gm12440 uncharacterized LOC110290620